AGUGAACGCUGGCGGUAGGCCUAACACAUGCGAGUCGAACGGCAGCACAGUAAGAGCUUGCUCUUACGGGUGGCGAGUGGCGGACGGGUGAGGAAUACAUCGGAAUCUACUUUUUCGUGGGGGAUAACGUAGGGAAACUUACGCUAAUACCGCAUACGACCUACGGGUGAAAGCAGGGGAUCUUCGGACCUUGCGCGAUUGAAUGAGCCGAUGUCGGAUUAGCUAGUUGGCGGGGUAAAGGCCCACCAAGGCGACGAUCCGUAGCUGGUCUGAGAGGAUGAUCAGCCACACUGGAACUGAGACACGGUCCAGACUCCUACGGGAGGCAGCAGUGGGGAAUAUUGGACAAUGGGCGCAAGCCUGAUCCAGCCAUACCGCGUGGGUGAAGAAGGCCUUCGGGUUGUAAAGCCCUUUUGUUGGGAAAGAAAAGCAGCAGGUUAAUACCCCGCUGUUCUGACGGUGCCCAAAGAAUAAGCACCGGCUAACUUCGUG
rnacentral:rRNA from 1 species